GACAGCAGUCGCCGCGGUAAUACCAGCACCUCGAGUGGUCAGGAGGUUUAUUGGGCCUAAAGCAUCCGUAGCCGGUUGCAUAAGUUUUCGGUUAAAUCUAUGCGCUUAACGUAUAGGCCGCCGAAAAUACUGUGCAGCUAGGGAGUGGGAGAGGUACACGGUACUCGAUAGGAAGGGGUAAAAUCCUUUGAUCUAUUGAUGACCACCUGUGGCGAAGGCGGUGUACCAGAACACGUUCGACGGUGAGGGAUGAAAGCUGGGGGAGCAAACCGGAUUAGAUACCCCGGUAGUCCCUGUCUCUUAUAC
rnacentral:rRNA from 1 species